CACACGAAUUGUAAACACCAACAACAACAAAUCGUGACGUCUUUGUGUUUCUACGUAAGAUUCUGAGGUAAAAUAAUAAUUACCUUAUACACACGAAUUGUAAACAACAAAUCGUGACGUCUUUGUGUUUCUACGUAAGAUUCUGAGGUAAAAUAAUUAUUACCUUAUACACACAAAUUGUAAACAACAACAAAUCGUGACGUCUUUGUGUUUCUACGUAAGGUUCUGAGGUAAAAUAAUAAUUACCUUAUACACACGAAUUGUAAACAACAACAAAUCGUGACGUGAUUGUGUUUCUACGUAAGGUUCUGAGGUAAAAUAAUAAUUACCUUAUACACACGAAUUGUAAACAACAACAAAUCGUGACGUCUUUGUGUUUCUACGUAAGAUUCUGAGGUAAAAUAAUAAUUACCUUAUACACACGAAUUGUAAACAACAACAAAUCGUGACGUCUUUGUUUCUACGUAAGGUUCCGAGGUAAAAUAAUAAUUACCUUAUACACACGAAUUGUAAACAACAAAUCGUGACGUCUUUGUGUUUCUACGUAAGAUUCUGAGGUAAAAUAAUUAUUACCUUAUACACACAAAUUGUAAACAACAACAAAUCGUGACGUCUUUGUGUUUCUACGUAAGGUUCUGAGGUAAAAUAAUAAUUACCUUAUACACACGAAUUGUAAACAACAACAAAUCGUGACGUGAUUGUGUUUCUACGUAAGGUUCUGAGGUAAAAUAAUAAUUACCUUAUACACACGAAUUGUAAACAACAACAAAUCGUGACGUCUUUGUGUUUCUACGUAAGAUUCUGAGGUAAAAUAAUAAUUACCUUAUACACACGAAUUGUAAACAACAAA